UUACUAUUCCUAAGAAACCUCAAGUUGUGCUCUUUCAAUCUUGGCCAUUUAUAUGUUUUCAAGGUUGCUUCCACGCUUUCUUUCUCUGGCUGACUGACCUCACUGUGUUCGUGGAAGAAGGAUUGGGUUAGGUGGAGAAGAGAGGAGGGUUUGAAGUUCAAUCAUGCAGCGUGAUGCGUCUCAAGCAACCUUCGUGACAGUGAAUAUCAUCACUUUGUCAGAUUUUUCGUCACCCUUGAUCUGUGGAGGAAGCAUGCCUUCUUUCGGAUUAGGUGAGAACCAUAAGGAGAUGAGAAGGUCAAGGAAGAUAUCAUCGUUGUACGGUGUUGCUGGUUAUGUCAGAUGACACGGGACGGGAUGGAACGGUGGAGCCAAUUACCUAUUGGUUGUAGAGUGAUAUAGUGAUUUCCUCUUCCCUUUAUACUUUUUCUUGGUUUAAAUCUGUUUUCUAUAUGAUCACAUGAAUGGUUAUUCCCUUAAUUUUCAUCUAAGAAUGAUUUAGAUCUAUUCAAGAUGGUCUUGAAGUCACAUUAAGUGAGAUGCAGGACAGAGUUAGUUCUUGGAAGAGGGAAGUGAUUUGGUUGUUACUGGAGAAUGAGAAAAGGUGUUGGUGAAGGUCCUGUUAAGGUUCUUGGAUUCGAGUUUUUUUGUUUGGUGGAGAUGGGGGUGUGAGUUCUGGUUUGAUGUGGAGAGGCUAUGGUGGUAGAGGUUGAGGGAAAUGGUGAAGGGUAUUGUGCUCUGUUUGUGCAGGGGAAUGAAAGGAAGAAGAUGAUGUUUUUCUAUGCUUGGUUCGUCCCAUUUGCUGAACCAGAUAUAUACCCUUUUAUGCUAUCUCUUCUCUCUUUUCUUCUCCAUAUUUCAAUGUGAGCUGAGAGUGCAUUGUGCAGUCCCUUUCAUUUUCCUCUUUGAUGAUUUUGUUUUAUUGUUUGGCACUAUUGCAACCCUUUCAUUUUUGUUUGAUACCCUAUUACCUCUUACUUGUCACUUUAUGAUUCUGGAAGCCACACCACCUACGUGACACUUCUUCUUUCAUUUUCUUAUUUUUUUGCUUGCUUAAAGGAAAAUACUACAUAGAGAAACUGUGCUUUGUAGAGCUCAUGGUAUUCAACAUAUUGUAAAACAUGUUCUCGACGAUUUAAUUUUUUACUAGACCCCUUCCACUACUCACUUUAUGCAUAUGUAACUUUUUGGAUGUGCUAUUUUGUGUCUUAAUUCUUACAAUAAGCCAGCACAUAAGAUUACUUCACUCUAACUAAUGUGAUUUCACUCACCAGUGUCACAAUUUGUUGAUCGAUUCUUUGAGCUUGUGUAGGAGGGAUCCAAAUGGUGAAACCAGUGUGUGGUACUUUUCCCUCUGUUUCAAAAGUGGACGUGGACAAAGCUUUAAGGAGCCAAAAGUCCUUAAUGGCAUGGACCUGCUUAGCAUCAAAAGAAUGCUUUUUCUAUAGGAACUGUAAUAUGUUUUAUGGUUGCAAAGAUGAGAUAGAUAUAUGAAAUGUUCUGAGAAUCACAAAAUGGAGAACUUGGUGGCUAAAAGGGCCUCGAACAUGUAUGCUUUCCUUCAAUAAUUGCAAGCAUUUGUUUCCACUAACCUUUAGUGGUCUUGUAUUUGUUACUAUGAUUGCAAUGAAGUUUCACUUUCUACCGGAAGUAUUUUUUUUGAAACUGUUGGCUAUUGCUCAUAACUAGGGUGAGGAGCUCCGCAAACAGAUUGGAGCUACCUAUUAUAUUGAAUACAACUCAAAAACUCAGCAGUUUAUAGGUUAAUGCAGUUUCCUUCCUCCUUUUUCCUCCUCAAAAGUACAUGGAAGUGGUACUAAAUGCAAUGGUGAAAUGAAAUAUACUUGAUCUACAUUGGCUAAACUAAGCUUAAUAUUGCAAGAGGUUAGCAUUGUAGGAUUCCAAUUCUUAUGUUUUAGUUUUAACAUUGAUCAAUGCUUUUAUAAGUUCAAAGUAAUGUAGAACUAUUAAAAUUGAGCAUUUGAAAGUCGGUAGCUAUAGCAAUCAAAAAGAGGUAUUGUUGUUGUACAGUUAUAUAGCUGACCUAUGCUCAUUAAAUUUCACAGCCUCUUCAUAUUGGUAUUGUUUUUAUCCUAAUAUUACCUCUCCUAUUUUUCUUUGUUUGAGUUAAUAUUUGUGUCUUAUUCUGUAACCAUUUCAGGCAGCUAACAGAAAUUUAACACCCUUCUAUUAAACAAUAAAAAGGAAAAAGAAAGUAAAGAGUUUUAAAUAUGUAACUAGACAACUGACUAAUGCCUUGGAUACUAAUUAAGAUCUAUAAAAGCAUGUAUAUUUAGAGUACUAUUGUCUUGAGGUAACCUCUAUGAUAGUAUGAUGUGUAAACUUUGCUUGACCAUGAUGUAGUUUAUGAAGAUUUAAGGCAACUGCUGUUGAUUUUUCUUGUAGUUAGUUAGGCACUGCUGUUGUUUUAGCAUCUCACUUAUUCAUUGUUAUCAAUGUAUCUUUGUCGCUUGCUGCAAAAACCUUCUAAGUGAAACUUGGGCCCCUAAAAUAGCAAACUAGAAAAGAACAUGAGAACAUGAGCAACAUAAGCAUUUAUCCUUUUUCAAGAGAAGGUGGAAAAGGAGGUCAGACUGUGAACAAAGUUGAAACUGCACUUCGAAUUACACACAACCAACUGGUGUCACUAUUCACUGAACAUGUCCAUGUCUCGAGUUGUUUCCUCUGGCAUCUGAAAUCUUUGUAUUUAGUCAGUCUUGAAGAACUCUAGAGGUAGCUACUAGAGUGAUGUGUUUAGUCUUUAACUUUGUAAUUGUCUUCGAUUUACUCGGAAGUUUCUCAUUAUUGAAAGUGUGCCUAAUUGCAUGUACUUGCCUGAAGUUGGUUUGGUAUGGACUUUGCAGGCCAUCGCUUAGUGGUAAUAUCAUCUAUUAGGAUAUUAUUAUGAUUUUGUUGAUUUAAAAAAAACAUAAAAUAGAGAACAACUUUUAUUCAGGUGCUAUUUGGUAUUGGUGAUUUAAAUUGUAACUCAGUCAUGAUUUUGACUUGGACAUACAAUUCGUGUAGAGUUGUAAGGAAUAUAUGUGAAGCUUUUAUUUUA